UCCCUGUUACCAGGGCAGUCUAGCUAGAAAAAUACAACUAACUAAAAGGGUUGCGCUCGUUGAUGGACUUAACCAAACAUCUCACGACACGAGCUGACGACGGCCAUGCAACACCUGUCACCGAAUUCCUUACGGCACAAUUACCUUUCGGUAGUCUUCUCGGGAUGUCAAACCUGGGUAAGGUUCUUCGCUUACCAUCGAAUUAAACAACACGCUCCACCGCUUGUGCGGGUCCCCGUCAAUUCCUUUAUGUUUUAAGCUUGCGCUCGUAAUCCACAGGCGGGAUGCUUAACGCGUUAGCUUCGCUACUAGAGGGGUCGAUACCUCUAACAGCUAGCAUCCAUAGUUUACGGCGUGGACUAC
rnacentral:misc_RNA from 1 species